GAAGUCAUGAGUAGAAGCCAGGGAGGCAUGAAAGAAAAAGUCUUGUGGCACCCACACCGAGAAGAUGCUAAGCAGAGAUGUGAGGAAACAAAGCUGAGAAUUGAGGGACAAUCCAAGGGAAAGAAGUGGACUGGGAAAUCGGUUCUCCUGGCCUGGAAAAGACACGUCACCACAGGAAAAAAUCUGGCUCCAGAGAACAAUUUAUUUUAAUAUGCCUCAUUUUGCUAUUUCAUUAAUUCAGAAAUACUUGGCCUUUUUUUCUACUGUUACUGUGGAGGCAUAAUAGGAAAUGUAAACAUACUGGUACAAAAUAAGAAAUAACUUAUUUAUAUGGCAGGAAGACUAGAAAAAUCACAGCCAUUUUCUUCUUCUUACUAUAAGCUCUAAUUUUCCAUGAUACUGCUCUACAUACAGGAUCUUUAUUUAAAAAAACCUGAAGUGAUGAUAUUACAUUGCCACAUCAACAUUUGAAAUUAAAUGAUCAAUGGGUGAUAUAAAAAUGGCCAGCACAUGGUACAUUUUGUAAUACUUUAAGUCACAUUGUUGAGAUCCUUGAUAAAGAUAUGAUUUGCUUUUAAUCUGGCACCAUCAUUUAUUUUGGGCAAAGCUAGAAAACAAAUAACAUAAUUUGCAUAAUGAAACCAUUGAGAGAAAAAUCACUGUAAUUUGUCAGAGGUAUCUGCACCAUUUUGACUUACAGUUUAAAUUCAUUCAAGUUUAUUUCUUUCCUUACCCCAACUAAACAAUGCUUUUGAUUUAUUCUUGCCAUUUAGUGUCAUAUAAAAUAAAGUGUUCCACUAGGAGGAGAAAUAAUUUGUCAAGUAGAAACUAUAUUAAAUGAAACAUUCUCUCUGAUAUGUUUUUAAUUUGUUUUAUUCCCAUUUUGCUAUUGCAAUUUUCCCACCUGCCAAUGGAGAUAAGGGGCUGUUUCAUUCUUUCUCUUUUGGCUCGCGAAGGCCACACGCUUGUUUUGUUAAGGAGAGUCCACCUAUCACCAGGAGGGACAGAAGUCAGCUCAGGAAGGGAGACCCUGCCAGGGGACUCAGCCAUGAGACUUUGCAAUUAUAAGCUAUUCCUUAAGCCACAGAAAGAAAUGAAGAAAGGAAGAGGGGAAGACAGAAAGAAAACAAUUAUCACUUGGUUUAGUGACCACGUGUGUUGAGGACAGGAAUAGAAAAAAGAAGGUACAUGUCUAAGAAGGAUUUAAAAAUGUCAAGGAAAGAACAAUGAGAUGAGAAAGAUUAAAGUCAGAGGGAGAAGCCAUGACCUUGAGCAAGGAUGCGCUUUUCAGCCAGGACACUUAACAAAGAGGGCUGACAGCUGUCAGCACUUCCAGAAGCUGGUAAAAUAAGACCUUCAUUCUUAAAGGGACAUCUUGGCAGAAUACCAAUGACUAUUCUAGUCCACUGCUUAUACCACUCAGAUACACAUCUUCAUAUACAUACUGAAAAUCAAUCUUCUAGGAUCUUAGUAGGUUUCUUUUGCUGGCAGAAUGUUGUAAGAUUAAGGUUGAUAGGAUAAACUGGUACCCUUGCAGAAACAGCUAGUUGCAAGAUCUCAAAUGAUAUUUAUCAUCUCUCUUCUUCACUAUCCACUUUAGAUUUUCCUCAUCAUCUGCUGGUCUUGGUGGCUUCCCAGUGGCAUGGUGGUGACCAUCCUGAGCUCCUGGCCACCCUGUCCUCUUCAAGCCAUAGCUGCACUUGUCCAUUUAUCAUCAAACGUAGGCAAAUAGACCACAUGGGUGCCAAACAU
rnacentral:lncRNA from 1 species